rnacentral:lncRNA from 1 species
ACGGGUGUCUUUCCCUCUGAAACUUAAGAACACGUGAUAAGAACACCGGAAUGUGGAAGAUGAGGCUUCUUGGGGUCUCACAGCAGCCAUUGGAUAAGCUAAGAUUGAUGAGUGAGGAUCUAUAAACUAUACUGUAUCAGAACGCACCAUAAAUAAAUGUCGAGGAAAAUAAAGUGACAACAGUGUAAGGAUCUAAAACCUAAUUCAGAAACCACUAACCAAAAGCGAUUGAGAAAUACUAUAAAUAGAUAUUGUUUUAGAGAAUUUAGUUGUGAUUCGCUAUAGGAGUGGGGAAAAAAACUUAGACAUAAUACAACACUACACAUCUGUAAACCAUUAACCAUGCUUCCAUGUUCCAAGUGAAAGCGACAAAAAUCUUAGCAAACAAGCAAAUUUUCGAGUAAAGGACAAGAUCCACACUAAUCUGGUUUUUAAUAUUUUUUUGCUCUUUAGCUGAACUCUUGCUGUUUAUUACUCCCAAAGUUCACGAUAAUACUUUAUUUAAACUACCGAUCACUGGAUAUAGGUACCAACCUGGAAAUAAUGAACCCGAACCCUGAAGUUCCUAAACUUUCAAAUUCAAACUGGAUUAUUUUGCAUGUAAAGACAAAAUAAUUACUCCCUCCAUUUCGAUUAAUUUGAGAUAUUUUCAAAUUCGAAAUCAAUGUGAUUCAUUUAACUUUUAAGAAAAAAUAAAUCUUAUAAUUAGUAAUAUAUUUUAGAUAGUUUACGAUUUUCAUAAUUGUAAUGUCUAAAUUAAAAUAAAUUCUUAUCAAUUUUGAAUUUGAAAAUAUUUCAAAUUGACUUCAAAAAUUCAAAUUCGAUCCCUUAUUUGGGAAAGAGGGAGUAAAUAUUUGAAAUAUACAGCUGGUCAGUCCUUGACCUUUUCAUUCUAUCAAGAGCAGGCCAACUAAACGGUCAGCUUUAACUCUAUUAUGGGUAGGACUGAAGUCUGUAGAUGAGCUGAGUAACUGAGUAGUCUGUAGAUGAGCUGAGUGAGUAGAGACGAACUGAGCCUGGUUCGGUUAAAUUUAUCGAGAUUGAGCUUAUCAAGCUCAAGCCUCAGAAGUGCUGCCAAGCUUGACUCAAUAAUAUUUAAUACUAGAGCUACUCGUGAGUCCCCCAUCACUAGCUAAGUGAGCUCGAGUUCAAUCUCAUUAAAGUUCAGGAAAGUUCAUUUAUGUUGUCAAAUAAUAUUAAAUUAGUCUCCUAAAAAUCAUAAAAUUAACAUAACAUUGUAUUUAUACAUUAUAUGCUAUCAUUUCAUUAUUAUUGGUGUAAUAUAAAUAUAUGUACUUUGAUAUUUUGAAAUUAUUAACUUAUAUAAUCCAUCCCACUUUUACUGCAUCCUAUAAUUUUUAUACAUAUUAAAAAAAGUUCAGAAUAUUGUGUAAAAGAACUGAAUUUCCAAAUGCACCAUUCUUAUGGACUCCAUCCCAAUUAAACCGUAUAGAAGACGAGGACAAUUAUCUCAAAUUGACAGAAGAUGAAAACUAGAGAAAUUUAGUAUUUGGAGUUUGAAUAUUUCAUUUUAUCAAAUUAAAUAACCUAACAAAAAUACAUUCAUAAGCACAAACAUGGGACAGGGGAGCAUAUAAAUUUAUAUAUAAUGUAUAGUUUACCCGAGCUUAAACGAGUUGAGUUUCUGAUCCAGCAUCUAGCUGAACUCGGGUAGCUCAUUUUAACAAAUCAAGCUUAAUUCAAGCUCGGCUUCUUUAACUCCUUGAGUCGAGAGGAUAUCUAUUUUUUAAAGGGAGAGGGAGAAAAAAAUUCUUGAGAAUUCAUUGCAAUCUCACUUGAGAAUAAAAAAUUCUUCAAAUAUGGAGUUGUUUUAAUUUUUUUAAAUUAAACUAUGAAUAGACAGUCCCAAUUGCGAACAAAAAGAUCAUUAAACAAAGCACAGUAUAUAUAAUAGAUCAAAUCCAACAAGUAAACAAAACAUGGGGGGGUCAACUAAACAAGAACAAACAAAUCAAACCCACUUUAUUUUAUUCAGAUCUAUUUCUUGCAGUUAAUAAAUGCACAUUCUAUUCAAAUUCCAUACAUUUAAUACUGACCUUUUAGGUUUUGGAGUUCAAGAUUUCACAAGUUUUGCAGACCAAAAUUCAACGACCCAGCACAAAAAAG